GUGUCCCUUAUAUCUAUGCCCGGCCCACAGCAAGGAUUCAUGUUAUCGAGCCCCACAUGGCAGCCAAUUAAUUCUGAAACUGCUUUAUGGUAAACAGAAAAUCUUCACUAUAGAAUUUGAGGAAUGCAAAUGUUCCUUGUCAGUUUGGCCCAUCGAAGGACAACUUAAGAUACUUUCCCAUGAUUGGCUGAAAUUUCUGUAAGAAAGAUUUUUAUGUUAAAUAUGUGAAUGUCUGUUAUGAUCAGAUAAUGUGUUAGUGGGCAAAAAUGCAGCAGUACGCAAACUGAUAUAGACCCUGACUUGAGUUUAGAGUUUAAAGGGGGAAGCGAAUAUUGAUCAUACAAUACCAUAAAUAAAUACAUAAUUUCAAGCGGUAGGGAGUGCUAUACUGGGUGCAAUGAAAGAAUAUGCCCCAGGAAUUGAAUUUACACUAAGCAUUCAAGGAAGGCCUCCCUGAAGAAGUAACAAUGAAGCUGAGACCUGGAGGGGAAGCAGGAGUUAGCCAGGCAGAGCUCAGGAAAGAAUGGUCCAGACCCCCAACUGGGGCAGGACCUGGUACGCUCAAAGAAGUCCACUGGAGCUGAGGCAAGGUGAGUAAGGAGCACAACGGCUCGACAUGAGUUCGGAUAAUUGGCAGGGUUUUGGGGCACUGUCGGGAGUUUGGCUUUUAUCCCAGGUGGGAUGGAAACCAUUGAACGGUGUACCUCAGCCAAGUGACGAAGUCCAAGUUGCACCUUAACGUCACUGCCAGCAAGAGGACAUAGACACAUUUGCAGUGGACUUGCACUUCAGCAUCAGGAUAACUAAGCAACAUUUACUGGACCUGUCUGUACCGAGCACUGCAGGGCAGCCGAAUGAUGGAAGCCAGCGACCGUGUGCCAGGCAGCCCUACGUAGCAUGACCUGUGGGGCAAGGAACCGAAAGCAGCCUCUAACCAACAGCCUGUGAGGACCCGAAUCCUGCCAACUACCACACAAAUGAGCUCUGAUGCAGAUGCUGUCCCGUUCGAGCCUUCAGAUAAGACUGCAGCCUCCUGAUCGACCUUGCGACAGAGACAUCCAGGUGUGAACAGAAGGCCAGAAAACACCCAGGCUUCGCAUCCCUUCCUUAAACUGUCCUUAAAUAGUCUACCGAUGGAAAUAAUGGGUGGUCGCGAUGAGACGAGACCAUCCUGACACCGGGACUGACUUCAUGCGUCACAAGUGCCACCUGGCCAAGAGCAGCUAUAGUGUCAUCCGGCUGUAAGUCCCGUCCUCUCUUGAUUCCAGAAAUGUUAAAAAAAAAAAUUGUCUUAAUUAAAUCUUAGACUCAACAGAGUGUAGUGCGUAACAACUUCCUAUGUGUGUUGUACUGUGAUAUAUAAUUGUUAGUAUUGGUCACAACCUACUGGUUAAUUUCAUGGCCCACUAACGAGGCCGGUACAUAGAAACCGGACAGCACUACCCAGGGCCCCUCUGAAUGCUGGGGAGGGGAGCCCAGAUUGGGGGUGGUGGAGGCAAGGGGUGUUGCCCGUGGAGAUGAGUAGGUAGGAGGGCUGGGGUCAGAAGUCCUGGCUCCAGGCUUUUUCCCAGUGCUUACAAGCAGGAGGAAAGAAAGGAAAAGGAGGAAGAGGAGGGAGGUUAUAAAUAAAAGAAUGAGCUUAUGAACCAAUAUGAUUUUUUUGGUUCACUCGGGUUUGUAUUUUUGCAUUAGGUUUUGUCCACAACACUCAGCUUUGACAGAGAUAUGAUAACCAGAGCAAGCUGCUUAGCCUCUUUGAACUUGAGAUUGAUUUUGAAAACAUGAAGAAGGAAAAACAAACAAACAAAAAACCCGGAGAGUUCAGUGAAUGCUGGCUCUUUUGUCUGGGUACAAUCCCGGCAGCUAGACCUGAUCUUCCCCUAGCCCAGCGGUGCUGCUCAGUCUAGCUUCCUGGAGAGGCAGUAGGGUGUACAGCUUACUCCCUCCAGCAGUGUAGACACCGAAUUCAGAUGCUACGAAAUGCACAUACCUGUCAGAAAGCAAUCUGGGCUUUUAUUGGGGGGGGGGGGGAGGGGAGAGGGUAUUUUAAUUGGCUUGCUUAGCUUGAGCUGGCGCAAAGGAGGGAGCCCAGGGUGUAUUUGCAGAAUGUGGAACCCUGCGGCCUGAAGAGGUGAAGGGUGCUGUUGAUUCUCAGCUGCAGUGAGGUAUGCCAUGGGCAUGGGUAAGUUACUCGGCUCCUCGGAGCUUGUUUCCAUCCUUGAAUGUGG